rnacentral:snoRNA from 1 species
ACCAAUUUUUGUGGGCUUGAUUUGUAGUUCCCCCAGAUGUAGUGGCUUGGGCGCUAUACUAACUUUUGUGGCUAUUCUGAACUGUGGCCUUUUUCUGUUGCUGCUGUUCCGGGAAACUCCACAUACACUU